GGGGACAGCCCCUAGGUUCUCAGUGUCUCUGGGAAGCUGAGUGGUGGUGGUGGUGGUGGGGCUGUGGGAAAAGGCAGGGCCAGGCUGGAUGGGCAAAGGUGUAGAGACUCCUCCUGUCUGGAAAACAGCUAUGGUAAAGAAGUGGAGUCCUGUCUUAUCUCCAGCCUCUGAGGAACUUACAGCCCCAGAAGGCAAGGCAUCCACCCAUGUAGCCUGUCAGGAAUCUAAGGGUAUAAGGUCACUCAUAUCCACAAAAUUCUUCCUCUGGGACCUAAUGCUUCUCUCUCCAACAUCAUUUUCCUCUGUAGGACAAUAGAGCCCAUUGAAGAGGAGCCUGGAGUUGGAGGUAUUGGCUCAAGUCCCUCCGACUGUCAUUCAGUUGCCAUGAGACUUUAGUGUGGAUCGUGUCCCCAGGCCUGCGUGUGAGAAAGAUCAGAGUUUAGAAUUAGAGGCUUUUCCAAUGAUGACGUGUACUGUGGGGCCUUAGACUCUGGUCUCACUUGGGCAUGAAGGUGCUCACUUGUGAUCCCAGCACUUGAGACGAAGAGGCAGGAGAAUCCGGAGUUCAAGGUUAUCCCGCAUAGUAAGUUCAAGGCUAAUGGGCUUGUCUUAGUCAGGGUCUCUAUUCCUGCACAAACAUCAUGACCAAGACAAAUUGGUACCAGGAGUGGGGUAUUCCUGUGACAACCUGACCAUGUUUUGGGGAGGACUGUGGAAGGAC
rnacentral:lncRNA from 1 species